UGCAGUGCAAGCCACACAGAAUAUUGAAUGUU
rnacentral:piRNA from 1 species